rnacentral:lncRNA from 1 species
GCUGACGUAAGCAAAAACAACCUGGUUGCAAUCUGUGACGUCACGCGUAUUGCAAAGUUCUCGGGAUUUUUGUUGUUUCGCUAUACUUUCCGCUUUAAAAGAGUAAUAUUGAAGCAUAAACUGGUCUAAUUGUUUUAAAAACAUGCCUAAGCCACGACAAAGUAUUCAAGGUAAAUGUUUUUCGUCUUUGUUUUGUAUUUUUUUACAUUUGUAGCUACGAAAUUGGCGUCCCCAAUUUUAACGAAAUUUGCGAUGCAUUUUUCACUGUUUAGUGCUUGAAAUAUUUGCCAAAAUUGACUGGGUAUACUUAGAGAUUUCAUCGUAGAAUAGCGUAGUCAUAUUUAUUUGCUCUUUGACUAAAAUGUUUAGCUGUAUUAUUGCAAAACAUGCCGUUUUUGAGAAUUUGGUUUGCAACUAGGUUUCAACAUCCAACCACGCCAUCAGCCCAUUGAAAACAUUAGAUCACGUCAGCUAGUUUCCUAUCCAUUUAUUUUAUUAUCCAUGGUUGUCCUAAGUGAGUUACAUGCUUGAUUUACACAGUAUACAACUCAAGUUGUAAGCAGGUUGCAUGCGACAGUUUUAGGCAAAAGUUGUGUAGUGCAAAUCGCUCUUAAGACUUAACGUUCCGAUUAGGCCCGGGUCAAACGUUGCUCUUCUCAUGCGCCCAACCGAAAGGCCAUUUUCCACUAGGCGGAAUUUUCCGCGCGGAAUUUUUCUUUGUCUUGUGAUUUCUCGGGUGGAACUAAUUGGCCUUUCUCACGCCGCCAUUUUUGUGGGUGGCUUUUCAGCCGAAGUCUGCGAGAUAAGUCCACAAAACAGCGACUUUUUAUAAUUUUUUGAACGAAUGAUGGUAAAUUUGCUUUGUAAAUGGUUAUAGUUUAUUUUGAAAAAUUGCUUUUCACAUUGUUUUAAUUGUCUGCAUUGGUUAACGAGAAUUAGACGCCACCCAAAAA